GAGGGUAGAGCUCAGUGGUAGAGCACAUGCUUAGCAUGCCUGAGGUCUUGGGUUCAGUCCCCAGUCCCUUCA
rnacentral:tRNA from 1 species